rnacentral:tRNA from 1 species
GCCUGGGUGGCUCAGUCGGUUAAGCAUCUGACUUCGGCUCAGGUCAUGAUCUCACGGUCCAUGGGUUCGAGCCCCGCAUCGGGCU